CUGCUUCAAGAUUCACUGGAGGUUGGUAUCGUGGGCCAUGUUCCUUCUGAUUUCAUACCUGCAAGCAGUUUACAGAGGAGCCCUGCUCCUACCACACUUUCACAGGCAAGAGCUGAGAGGACUACAAGUCGAAACUUCAUUUCAGGGCAAAAAUUAUUGUGAUGCCUGCAUGAUGCUGUAUCAUUUCUUCAUGCCACUGUAUCUCAGCACUUAGAAGGUUUAAAUCUACAUCUCUUGAGGGGUAUUAAGAAGGU